rnacentral:lncRNA from 1 species
UAAUCUCCAUCUUGGGUGAAAAGGGACUCACAUUAGAGGCAUGAUUCUAUUUAGAAAGCUGGCUUAUUUGCUAAAUAUUCAGGACAGAAAAUUCAGAGAAUGAGCCUCGCGGUGACCCUGGGAAUGUUGUGGACGGUGCAGACAGUUUCUAGCUGUGUGACUCUGGGAACCAAUUAAGUCUUUACUUCAGCUCAGCCUUCUAGACCUCUUAAGAGAUGGAAGAAAGGAGUAUAUGGAAUAUCUUAUCUUAGGAACAGAGGAUCAAUUUUGUGGAUUCAAGAAUGUAUGAAGGAGAAGCAUUUUAAAUACUCUAGACUGAAAAGGUAGGUUACACAUCCAUAACCAAUAUCAUAUUACUUGCUUUCUUAUGGAGAAGUGGGAG